UACAGGACACUAUAAGGGGUUUCUCUUCAAAUUAGCUAGCUACGGAUGGGUGGUCUUGUAAGCCUUUGAAGCAACCUUCACACUAACUAGAGACAACAAACAUACAGCAUUCGCUAAUUUUAAUUAGAUUGGCUGCGAUCGUUUCAGAUGUAAAUCAGCUGGUGCUAACGAAGCGUGAUGUCGAAUAGUUCGCCACCAGACACAAUACCAGCAUUUCCUGGAGAGAAAAAAUGUCAGAAGAUCUAACAUUACGUCUUCUCUGAAACCUGUGUAGAAUAUCACGACUGCGUCAUCACUUCGUGUGUAGACCACCUGUUUCCGGUUUGCGAAAGUGGGGUGUGCUCUUGCCGGUCAGUGGUCAAGUGUCCAAAUUCUGGGGCUGUGUGUGCAUUUCGUCACGAAUGUCUGAGUUUUGCCAGAGACUGUUCGUGCGACACUCAUCAGAUCCAUUGCAUAGACCAACACUGUCACUGUGGCUUUAACAUCACUGUCUUCUGGUGAAGAGACAAUUAAAAUAUGUUUAAACUGUAA